UUAUUGAAUGGCUGAAAGAAAGCAAUGGUCUCUUAAACCAAAAUAUAGUACACGAAUACUUUCAAUUAA
rnacentral:tRNA from 1 species